AUUCUGUGAUGAGGGUACUUUUGUAAUAAUUCUUUGUACCUUUCCAAUGCCUUAUACAGUGACUCAUCAUCCAUUUGUUAAAGAGCAGUGAUCUCAUUCCUCAACUU
rfam:Gossypium raimondii chromosome 3, whole genome shotgun sequence.